UUUUAUGGAGAGUUUGAUCCUGGCUCAGAGUGAACGCUGGCGGCGUGCCUAAUACAUGCAAGUCGAACGAUGAAGCUUCUAGCUUGCUAGAGUGCUGAUUAGUGGCGCACGGGUGAGUAACGCAUAGGUCAUGCGCCUCUUAGUUUGGGAUAGCCAUUGGAAACGAUGAUUAAUACCAGAUACUCCCUACGGGGGAAAGAUUUAUCGCUAAGAGAUCAGCCUAUGUCCUAUCAGCUUGUUGGUAAGGUAAUGGCUUACCAAGGCUAUGACGGGUAUCCGGCCUGAGAGGGUGAACGGACACACUGGAACUGAGACACGGUCCAGACUCCUACGGGAGGCAGCAGUAGGGAAUAUUGCUCAAUGGGGGAAACCCUGAAGCAGCAACGCCGCGUGGAGGAUGAAGGUUUUAGGAUUGUAAACUCCUUUUGUUAGAGAAGAUAAUGACGGUAUCUAACGAAUAAGCACCGGCUAACUCCGUGCCAGCAGCCGCGGUAAUACGGAGGGUGCAAGCGUUACUCGGAAUCACUGGGCGUAAAGAGCGCGUAGGCGGGAUAGUCAGUCAGGUGUGAAAUCCUAUGGCUUAACCAUAGAACUGCAUUUGAAACUAUUAUUCUAGAGUGUGGGAGAGGUAGGUGGAAUUCUUGGUGUAGGGGUAAAAUCCGUAGAGAUCAAGAGGAAUACUCAUUGCGAAGGCGACCUGCUGGAACAUUACUGACGCUGAUUGCGCGAAAGCGUGGGGAGCAAACAGGAUUAGAUACCCUGGUAGUCCACGCCCUAAACGAUGGAUGCUAGUUGUUGGAGGGCUUAGUCUCUCCAGUAAUGCAGCUAACGCAUUAAGCAUCCCGCCUGGGGAGUACGGUCGCAAGAUUAAAACUCAAAGGAAUAGACGGGGACCCGCACAAGCGGUGGAGCAUGUGGUUUAAUUCGAAGAUACACGAAGAACCUUACCUAGGCUUGACAUUGAGAGAAUCCGCUAGAAAUAGUGGAGUGUCUAGCUUGCUAGACCUUGAAAACAGGUGCUGCACGGCUGUCGUCAGCUCGUGUCGUGAGAUGUUGGGUUAAGUCCCGCAACGAGCGCAACCCCCUUUCUUAGUUGCUAACAGGUCAUGCUGAGAACUCUAAGGAUACUGCCUCCGUAAGGAGGAGGAAGGUGGGGACGACGUCAAGUCAUCAUGGCCCUUACGCCUAGGGCUACACACGUGCUACAAUGGGGUGUACAAAGAGAAGCAAUACUGCGAAGUGGAGCCAAUCUUCAAAACGCCUCUCAGUUCGGAUUGUAGGCUGCAACUCGCCUGCAUGAAGCUGGAAUCGCUAGUAAUCGCAAAUCAGCCAUGUUGCGGUGAAUACGUUCCCGGGUCUUGUACUCACCGCCCGUCACACCAUGGGAGUUGUGUUUGCCUUAAGUCAGGAUGCUAAAUUAGCUACUGCCCACGGCACACACAGCGACUGGGGUGAAGUCGUAACAAGGUAACCGUAGGUGAACCUGCGGUUGGAUCACCUCCUUUCUAGA
rnacentral:rRNA from 1 species